UUCCACAUAGUUCCUCCCUUCCUGCCCACCCCCAUCAGGAGCUGUUUAUUUCUCAGAACUAAAUGCCACGAUCCUUCUCAGCUACCUUGGCAGCAUUCUGUCAGAAACCAGUCAACAAACAGAGCAGGGAAAAACAGCACCCCGAAGACAGCAUUCAGGACCCAGCCCUUUAGACAAAAGGGAUCAGAUCAGGUCUACUAGACGGCUCCAUUCAGUCAAACACACCCAGUUAAGCAGCCCUGGAAAGGGACUCUAGAGAAUGCUAGAAGUACUGUGAAGCUCGCAGAUGGCCUUGUGGACUUUAGCACUUCAGGUGAGAUGAGAACACUGAUGCACAGAGAUUAUACCAGCUGGGCUAGCGAGUGACCGGGGGAAGCCUCCAGAUCCAUGCACACAACCGCCAGGUUUAUGACACCUCUAGAAAUGUGGCCAGUGCCCCUGGGGUCUAUCAGCAUCUCUUGCUAGACCAGCAGAGCCCUAAAAAAGGAGAUUGAUGAACUCGAGACCAGAGAAACCCUCAGGUGGGAGCCAGCAGCAACUGGAGAGCCCAGCAGGCAGGAGAAGAGGGCAGCCAAUUCUGCCAUCUGCCCUGGGUACCCCGAGAAGGAGGAGGCAUGGAAGACAACAGUCUCCCAGCAAAAUGUUGCAAGCAGCACAGGCUCAGGAAUGGACAGACUGGCAGACGCAGCAAGAAGGCAGCAGUCUGCACACCAGGAGGAGAGUCCUCACCAGAACCCAGCCCUGCCACACCCUGAUCCUGGACUUUCAGCCUCCAGAGCUGUGAGAAAUAAAUGCCUGUUGUUUCAGCAGCUCA